UGGGGAAUAUUGCGCAAUGGGCGAAAGCCUGACGCAGCAACACCGUGUGAGCGAUGAAGGCCUUAGGGUUGUAAAGCUCUGUCAAAUGGGAAGAAUUAUGACGGUACCAUUAAAGGAAGCCCCGGCUAACUCCGUGCCAGCAGCCGCGGUAAUGCGGAGGGGGCAAGCGUUGUUCGGAAUUAUUGGGCGUAAAGCGUAUGUAGGCGGCCGAGUAAGUCAAGCGUGUAAGCCCGUGGCUCAACCACGGAAUUGCGUUUGAAACUACCCGGCUUGAGUACAGGAGAGGAAAGCGGAAUUCCCAGUGUAGCGGUGAAAUGCAUUGAUAUUGGGAAGAACAUCUGUGGCGAAGGCGGCUUUCUGGUCUGUUACUGACGCUGAGAUACGAAAGCCAGGGGAGCGAACGGG
rnacentral:rRNA from 1 species